rnacentral:rRNA from 1 species
CCUACGGGAGGCAGCAGUGAGGAAUAUUGGUCAAUGGACGAGAGUCUGAACCAGCCAAGUAGCGUGAAGGAUGACUGCCCUAUGGGUUGUAAACUUCUUUUAUAUGGGAAUAAAAUGUUCCACGUGUGGGAUUUUGUAUGUACCAUAUGAAUAAGGAUCGGCUAACUCCGUGCCAGCAGCCGCGGUAAUACGGAGGAUCCGAGCGUUAUCCGGAUUUAUUGGGUUUAAAGGGAGCGUAGGUGGAUUGUUAAGUCAGUUGUGAAAGUUUGCGGCUCAACCGUAAAAUUGCAGUUGAAACUGGCAGUCUUGAGUACAGUAGAGGUGGGCGGAAUGCGUGGUGUAGCGGUGAAAUGCUUAGAUAUCACGAAGAACGCCGAUUGCGAAGGCAGUUCACUGGACUGCAACUGACACUGAGGCUCGAAAGUGUGGGUAUCAAACAGGAUUAGAUACCCGGGUAGUC